rnacentral:tRNA from 1 species
ACUUAAAUAGCUUAUAAAGAGCGUAGUAUUGAAGAUACUAAGGAAAUGUAACAUUUUUAAGUA